GACAACAAUCACCUAUGUGAUUUCUAUUUUCUAAUAUCUCAAGGCCUUCUAAUAUGUUAGAGCCAUAGGGCUUUUCUGAUUUUUCUAAUCUCACAUGAAGUCAACAAUGGGAUAAUAGCUAUCAACUUGAAAUAUGUUACUAAAGAUACAUCAUAUAGAACUACGAAGACAGACCUGACCAAUCUCUAUCAGACCUCCUCUUGCCUCAGA
rnacentral:lncRNA from 1 species